UACGGGGGGGGCAAGCGUUGUUCGGAAUUACUGGGCGUAAAGGGCUCGUAGGCGGCCAUCUAAGUCAGACGUGAAAUCCCCCGGCUUAACCUGGGAACUGCGUCUGAUACUGGACGGCUAGAGUAUGGGAGAGGGAUGUAGAAUUCCAGGUGUAGCGGUGAAAUGCGUAGAUAUCAGGAGGAACACCGGUGGCGAAAGCGCUCAUCUGGCCCAAUACUGACGCUGAGGCGCGAAAGCUAGGGGAGCAAACGGG
rnacentral:rRNA from 1 species